rnacentral:rRNA from 1 species
GACGAACGCUGGCGGCGUGCUUAACACAUGCAAGUCGAACGAAGAGCGAUGGAAGCUUGCUUCUAUCAAUCUUAGUGGCGAGCGGGUGAGUAACGCGUAAUCAACCUUCCCUUCAGAGGGGGACAACAGUUGGAAACGACUGCUAAUACCGCAUACGAUCUAACCUCGGCAUCGAGGAUAGAUGAAAGGUGGCCUCUACAUGUAAGCUAUCACUGAAGGAGGGGAUUGCGUCUGAUUAGCUAGUUGGAGGGGUAACGGCCCACCAAGGCGAUGAUCAGUAGCCGGUCUGAGAGAAUGAACGGCCACAUGGGGACUGGAACACGGCCCAGACUCCUACGGGAGGCAGCAGUGGGGAAUCUUCCGCAAUGGACGAAAGUCUGACGGAACAACGCCGCGUGAGUGAUGACGGCCUUCGGGUUGUAAAGCUCUGUUAAUCGGGACGAAAGGCCUUCUUGCGAAUAGUUAGAAGGAUUGACGGUACCGGAAUAGAAAGCCACGGCUAACUACGU